rnacentral:misc_RNA from 1 species
AGGCACACUUGCCAAUCAACCACGCAUAGAAUAUAGUUACAUCAGUUAAAAUCAAGCAAAAUUCAAAAAUUCUUUUGUACAUCCAGAAGCAUUGAAACAGGUAAAUAAGCAUGACGUGCUUAGAUCAAAAGCCAUAUGGACCACCCAUCUUUAUGAGCACCUCACCAUCUGCCCUGUGUAGUAAUAUGACAUUAGGUUACUGAAAAGCAGGGAAAACCGGAUCCUUCAUACUACUACUAGUUUUUGUGUAUGACUGUCGAUAUCAAAAUUGUAUAAUUAGGCUGUGUAAACUGUGUACGUUACAAUUGUGAAUUUUAAGUGAACUUUUCUGAAGAGGACUUCCAACGCCUUGAACCUAUACUUGAUGGUCUGGGCCCUUCUUGUCCUCUGAAUUUUGUGGAGAAGACUUCCUUUCCAUUGCCUGUUUGCAUACCAAGUUUAAAUCCUCUGUCCUCCUCUUUAUCUCCGAUGACCAUAAUACAGGAUUGGUGUUCUUGGGUAGGGAAUCUUGUUGUUGGGUUCUCUCUCUCAGCCAAUGCUCAGCUUUAUUGCACUCAUUAAUGAUCAAUUCCCUAUCCUCAGUUGGGAGAGAAUUAACAUGCAUGCGAUACUCCACAAUGCAAUUUAACAAUUCUCGUUUAGCUUGUGCUCUCGCUUCUUCAUCUUUAAAUCGAUUCUCAAUGGGAUCCACCAACUUCCUAAGAUCCUGCAUUUUUGAGGUAUAGGCAUUCUCAGUUUCAUCAUCACCAUCUUCAUAAAGCCAGUCCUCUGUCUCCUGUAGGCUCCUGGAGAU